UCAAUUUCUUUUUUCCUUUCCCUCAAAUUUGCUCUUUUUCGUAACCGAGCCUCUUCACUCGAACACGAGGCCGCCCGGGCGACUUCACAUGGCGAUAAGGACGGUUACGGCGGCAAGGACGUUCGCGGCCACUUCAAAGCCUCCAGUGCUCAACAUCUCCACCUUCUCCAAGAUCGAAAGCGACCAAAACAAGUUGUUUUUUUUUCCCCAAAUCGCAUUACAGAAUCUAGGUUUUUAAAUCCUAAUUUUUUUUUUCACUGAUUCACAAUGGUUGCAAUACUUGAGAUGAGGUUAGGAUCUAGGGUUUUGUUCUUAUUGCAUAGGGUUUCUUUUCAACUGUCAAAGAUGAGGCUAUCUUUUUCAAAUCUGUCACCACAAUACCACAAGAAGGUAACUCUACUCUAACAGCCUUAUGUGAGGUUUAUUUGUUUAUUCAAGAGAAGAUUUGAUAGCUAUCUUCCACAUCUGUUGUGUUGUGAAUGUUAGAAAUGGAGCAACCGAGUAACUAGCAUGACAUCUUCACUUUCUGAUUUGUUGAUUGAUAUUGCCUUUUGACUCUCAAGUUUAUAUUAUUAAUUAUGGUCUCGCAAAGAAGUACAGGCAUUUCCAAACUCAUAAGCACAUACCUUAUAGGUAAUGAAAACUUGAUCUUGAUAUAAUAAUUCGGUGUUUUUUUUACUUCAUAGCACGUUUGGCAAAUUCUUCUUUGAGGUUGAUGUUUCAAUAGUGACAAGUAUGCAGAAUCUUAGAUGAAUUUGUAUUGUUUCUCUUAGUUUAUAAUUUAUUAUUUUUUAUAAGUUUCUUCAAGUCCAUACUAGCCACUGUUUGUGAGACUUUUCAACCCCUAAAAAUUAAUCUGUACUAUAUAUGCUUUUUUAUGAGCAGCUUGACAGGAAAGGUAAAGAGUGAAACGGAGGGUGAAAAUAAAAUUUGAGAUGUUUGCACAGUUUUAUUUCUGAAUCAAGAUUAUUUGAUCAAUUUCAGGGUUUUUGUCAUUUCUGAAAGGAAAUGAUUUCUUUUGGGGGUUGAGUUAUAGUAAACAAUCAAUUAAGCAUAACACUUUAGGAUCUUUGGUGACUAACAAGAAAUGUACAAACUAAAUUGAGUAGAGAAUUUUGUCUUUUCCUAAGCAAGUUUUGUUUUAUGACUAUAAAUUGACUUUUCUUUGGAAUCUUUUUCUUGUUUUUAUUUACUCCAUCCAGCCUAACAAAUUUUGUUAUAUUUUACAUCUUCCUACCAUGGGAUUUUGUUGAAUUGUUUUAUAGGCAAUGUGUUUUUGGUUUCAUAUAGUGUAUCCAUUUAUAGGGAGAAUAAGAAUCGUACAGGAACUGCAAGCUAUGCCAGUGUUAAUACACAUAUAUUGAUUGAGCAAAGCCAAAGAUGAUUUAGAAUCUCUGGGUUACGUUCUUAUGUAUUUUUUAAGUGGAAGCCUUCUUUGGAAAGAGCUUAAAGCUAUCAGUAAAAAGCAAAAGUAUGACAAAAUUAGUGAGAAGAAAGUGCUUACCCCUUUGAGGCACUUUGUAAAUCAUAUCCUUCAGAAUUUACAGAUUAUUUCCACUACGGUUGAUUCUUGAGUUUUGAGGACAAGCCGGAUUAUUCAUACUUUAGGAGGCUAUUCCGUGAGCUAUUUAUUCGAGAAGGUAUGGGAGAGUUGAAGCGAAAUAGACUUGGAGCUUUUGAGGACUACAACAUUUUGCAUAUGAAGACUUUAAAGAAAUGAAUACUUAGCUUUUUGAUGUAAAUAGAUGUUAAUUUUACUAGACAUUUGAUAUCUAGUUUAAUGAUGUGUAGAAACAAUUAUCAUAAAUUAAUGAUAUUUUAAUAUAUAUGGUGGUUUAAUUUUUAAUA